UACGUAGGGUGCAAGCGUUGUCCGGAAUUAUUGGGCGUAAAGGGCUCGUAGGCGGUCCAUCGCGUCGGGAGUGAAAAGCUGGGGCUCAACCCCAGUCCUGCUUCCGAUACGGGUGGACUAGAGGUAGGCAGGGGAGAACGGAAUUCCUGGUGUAGCGGUGAAAUGCGCAGAUAUCAGGAAGAACACCCGUGGCUAAGGCGGCUCUCUAGUACGGUACUGACGCUGAGACGCGAAAGCGUGGGGAGCGAACAGG
rnacentral:rRNA from 1 species